ensembl:lncRNA
CCCCGGACCAAGGCCAGACCGCCCGGACCAGGGGCCAGACCCCCGGACCGAGGCCAGACCCCCCAGACCGAGGCCAGACCCCCCGGACCAGGGCCAGACCGCCCGGACCAGGGCCAGACCGCCCGGACCAAGGCCAGACCGCCCCGGACCAAGGCCAGACCGCCCUGGACCAAGACCAGAACGCAGAUGAACCUGACAGCCCCCCCACAAAGGCCCUGGCCCAGGUCAUGGGGAACCUGAGGUUUCGGGUGAAGGGCCUCAAAAAGAAGAGGGUUCAACCAGCAUCCACCUCCCGGCUUGAUGAGGAGAAGCCUUUGGGCCGCCCUUCAGGCCGGAGCCCCUUCCCUGGCCAGACCGCCACGGACCAAGGCCAGACCGCCCCGGACCCAAGCCAGAUCCCUGAGGAACCUGGUGAACAGGGCCCGAGAAAGGACCUGUCCCAGGUCUUGGGGAACGUGAGGGUCCGGGUGAGGGCACUAAGAAAGAAGAGGGUCGAAACAGCUACCACAGCACUGACGGAGCAGGAGGAGGAGAAGCCUUUGGGCCGCCCUUCACGCCAGAACACCUUUAGGCGAAUCAAGAUGGCCUGGGCCGACCCAAAGGCCGUCAUCACCACCGACGCACCCCCGAACACCCCUGAACAUCAGGAUCUGGUCAUCGAGGCUGAGGAGGAGGGGGAAGCCACAGCUCAGGCUGAGGGGACGAGCCUCAGGCCCCGGGUCAACAAGUGGCUGAACCGUAGAAUGAAGGAGAUGUCUACAUUUGCGGCCCGGUUCCAGUGUGGGUCGUGUGUGCGCUAAGAAAAAAAAAAGGAAAGAAAAGAAAAUAGCAUAUAAAAACCCAAAAAAAACAACUGCAAAAUAAAAUGUAUUACAUUGUGAAGACAAAGUAUGCACGUCAAACAUCUGAUGGCGCCCGACCAAGUCCAGAUCGAUGUGAAGUCACACAGGAGGGAAACCCCAGCUUUGUCUAAGCCCGGGUGAAUUUAAGCAAAGUAUUGAAACAUCUGAUGGGACUCAACCAAGUCCUCAUCGAUGUUGCAUCACACUGAGGUGUGUCAUACUUUGUUUAAAUUCACCUACGCUAGGACAAAGCUGGGGUUUCACUCCAGUGGGAUGUCACAUCGAUGUGGACCUGGGCUGGACUUAUCCGAUGUUUGAUGUCCAUACUUUGUCUGGGCCCAGGUGAAUUUAAACAAAGUAUGUACGUCAAACAACUGAAGUGACCCGACCAGGUCGACAUCGAUGUGACAUCACACAGGAGUGAAACCCCAGCUUUGUCUGAGCCCGGGUGAAUUUAAACAAAGUAGUCAAACAUCUGAUGGGACCCAACCAAGUCCUCAUCGGUGUUACAUCACAUUGAGGUGUGUAAUGCUUUGUUUAAAUUCACCUGCGCUUGGACCAAGCUGCGGUUUCUCUCCAGUGUGAAAUCACAUCGAUGUGGACUUGGUUGGGUCCCAUCCGAUGUUGGACGUACACACUUUGUUUCAAUUCGCCUGGGCCCAACUGCAAUUCAUGUAUAAAAAAACAAAUAAAAAUGUUUGCCGAAA